GUUUCUAUGAUGUUUUGUGCUAGGUUUUGAUUUGCUUGUGUUGUCUUCCUUUUUGUUUAUUUGUAUUUUAAAAUGCCUUUUUUAACAGUGAGGGCAGGGGACUACAGAUGAGAAAUAGCCUUUUGGCUAAUUCUGGCUUUUUUAACCCAUGGGAAAUCACGUGUUUUAUUAAUUUGCACUGUCCCCUUUCAUAAAUAAACCAAAUUCAAUAAAGACGAAGG